AGAGUUUGAUCCUGGCUCAGGAUGAACGCUGGCGGCGUGCUUAACACAUGCAAGUCGAACGGGAAUGUUUCGCUGAUGCGAUUUCGGUCAAAUCUUGAAGCAUUUUAGUGGCGGACGGGUGAGUAACGCGUGGGUAACCUGCCCUGUACAGGGGGACAACAGUUGGAAACGACUGCUAAUACCGCAUAAGCGCACAGCUUCGCAUGAAGCAGUGUGAAAAACUCCGGUGGUACAGGAUGGACCCGCGUCUGAUUAGAUAGUUGGUGAGGUAACGGCCCACCAAGUCAACGAUCAGUAGCCGGCCUGAGAGGGCGAACGGUCACAUUGGGACUGAGACACGGCCCAAACUCCUACGGGAGGCAGCAGUGGGGAAUAUUGCACAAUGGGGGAAACCCUGAUGCAGCGACGCCGCGUGAGUGAAGAAGUAUUUCGGUAUGUAAAGCUCUAUCAGCAGGGAAGAAAACAAUGACGGUACCUGACUAAGAAGCCCCGGCUAACUACGUGCCAGCAGCCGCGGUAAUACGUAGGGGGCAAGCGUUAUCCGGAUUUACUGGGUGUAAAGGGAGCGCAGGCGGGAAGACAAGUUGGAAGUGAAAUCCAUGGGCUCAACCCAUGAACUGCUUUCAAAACUGUUUUUCUUGAGUAGUGCAGAGGUAGGCGGAAUUCCCGGUGUAGCGGUGGAAUGCGUAGAUAUCGGGAGGAACACCAGUGGCGAAGGCGGCCUACUGGGCACCAACUGACGCUGAGGCUCGAAAGUGUGGGUAGCAAACAGGAUUAGAUACCCUGGUAGUCCACACCGUAAACGAUGAUUACUAGGUGUUGGAGGAUUGACCCCUUCAGUGCCGCAGUUAACACAAUAAGUAAUCCACCUGGGGAGUACGACCGCAAGGUUGAAACUCAAAGGAAUUGACGGGGGCCCGCACAAGCAGUGGAGUAUGUGGUUUAAUUCGACGCAACGCGAAGAACCUUACCAAGUCUUGACAUCCGUUGACCGACAUAGAAAUAUGUUUUUCCUUCGGGACAGCGAGACAGGUGGUGCAUGGUUGUUGUCAGCUCGUGUCGUGAGAUGUUGGGUUAAGUCCCGCAACGAGCGCAACCCUUAUGGUCAAUUACUACGCAAGAGGACUCUGGCCAGACUGCCGUUGACAAAACGGAGGAAGGUGGGGAUGACGUCAAAUCAUCAUGCCCUUUAUGACUUGGGCUACACACGUACUACAAUGGCGUUAAACAAAGAGAAGCAAGACCGCGAGGUGGAGCAAAACUCAGAAACAACGUCCCAGUUCGGACUGCAGGCUGCAACUCGCCUGCACGAAGUCGGAAUUGCUAGUAAUCGUGGAUCAGCAUGCCACGGUGAAUACGUUCCCGGGCCUUGUACACACCGCCCGUCACACCAUGAGAGCCGGGGGGACCCGAAGUCGGUAGUCUAACCGCAAGGAGGACGCCGCCGAAGGUAAAACUGGUGAUUGGGGUGAAGUCGUAACAAGGUA
rnacentral:rRNA from 1 species